rnacentral:lncRNA from 1 species
AUGUUUUUAUUUUCUGUAGAGACAGGUUCUCACUACGUUGCCCAGGCCAGUCUUGAACUCCAGGAUUCAAGCAAUCCUCUGGCCUCAGUCUCCCAAAGUGCUGGGAUUACAGGCAUGAGCCACCACACCCGGCCAAGGCUAAGUUCUUGAAAGCACCACUGAGCCACUAUCUCAAACCAGGAGCUUUUAAUUUCCAAACUUCCUAACAGGGAGGUAAAUUACUUUUCUGUAUGGCUUGUGUCAGUGUAGUUGGGUAUUCUACUGCUUCCAGUUGAAAGCAUCCUAAUUCAGAUCUCA